GACGAACGCUGGCGGCGUGCUUAACACAUGCAAGUCGAACGGAAAGGCCCUGCUUUUGUGGGGUGCUCGAGUGGCGAACGGGUGAGUAACACGUGAGUAACCUGCCCUUGACUUUGGGAUAACUUCAGGAAACUGGGGCUAAUACCGGAUAGGAGCUCCUGCUGCAUGGAGGGGGUUGGAAAGUUUCGGCGGUUGGGGAUGGACUCGCGGCUUAUCAGCUUGUUGGUGGGGUAGUGGCGUACCAAGGCUUUGACGGGUAGCCGGCCUGAGAGGGUGGCCGGCCACAUUGGGUCUGGGAGACGGCCCAGACUCCUACGGGAGGCAGCCGUGGGGAAUGUUGCACAAUGGGAGGAAGCCUGAUGCAGCAACGCCGCGUGCGGGAUGACGGCCUUCGGGUUGUAAACCGCUUUCGCCUGUGACGAAGCGUGAGUGACGGUAAUGGGUAAAGAAGCACCGGCUAACUACGUG
rnacentral:rRNA from 1 species